rnacentral:piRNA from 1 species
UAUACGAUAAAAAUUGUAGUAAUAUUUUCA